rnacentral:ncRNA from 1 species
AAGGAUGAUCGGCAAACCAGAUGAAAGUCUGGGACGCAAAGCUAUAGGGCCUGUAAAAUGGUAGCCAGUUGCAUGA